rnacentral:rRNA from 1 species
UACGGAAGGGGCAAGCGUUGUUCGGAAUCAUUGGGCGUAAAGGGCGCGUAGGCGGUUUUGUUUGUCCGCUGUAAAAGUCCACGGCUCACCCGUGGAGAGUCGGCGGAAACGGCAAGACUUGAGGCUGGGAGGGGUUGGUGGAAUUCCCUGUGUAGCGGUGAAAUGCGUAGAUACGGGGGAGAACACUCGUGGCGAAGGCGGCCAGCUGGCCCAGUCCUGACGCUGAGGCGCGACAGCGUGGGGAGCAAACAGGAUUAGAUACCCUGGUAGUCCACGCCGUAAACGAUGGGCACUAGGUGUCGGCGGUUUUGAGUCCGUCGGUGCCGGCGCUAACGCAGUAAGUGCCCCGCCUGGGGAGUACGGUCGCAAGGCUGAA